rnacentral:lncRNA from 1 species
UUUUCUGCAUUCCUACUCCUACCUAAUAAUCAAUGAAGGAAAACUUAAAUAACAAACUAAUGAAAAAUAAAGAAAGAUAGUUCACACCCCAUUGCUUGAAUUUACAACAGCAUCCAUCUACAAGUAAAUCCUCAAAUUAAUUUCAUGAUCAACAAGAAAUGUAGAUACCGACGAGCUGCCAUCUGCUCUAAAGAAGAUUUCUAAAUCUAUCUUAAUAGAUUUCUGUUGAUUCCCUGUGUUAUUUAACAAAACAUAACUAAUGGACCUAGAUUGUGACUUGUAACUGAAGCAGUGACUAUUAAAACUUUGUAAACCUAUUUUUUUAUAUAACUGAAAGUAUAGCCCUUAACACCUGUAGAAUUUUGUGCUAACAAACUUUGGUAAAACACCUUCUCCCAAUCCCCACACACAAACACAUUCUCCAUCUGUUUAGAAAUGUAAACUUUUUGUCUGACUCA